rnacentral:rRNA from 1 species
UGGGGAAUUUUGGACAAUGGGCGCAAGCCUGAUCCAGCAAUGCCGCGUGCAGGAUGAAGGCCUUCGGGUUGUAAACUGCUUUUGUACGGAACGAAAAGACUCCUUCUAAUAAAGGGGGUCCAUGACGGUACCGUAAGAAUAAGCACCGGCUAACUACGUGCCAGCAGCCGCGGUAAUACGUAGGGUGCAAGCGUUAAUCGGAAUUACUGGGCGUAAAGCGUGCGCAGGCGGUGAUGUAAGACAGGUGUGAAAUCCCCGGGCUUAACCUGGGAAUUGCAUUUGUGACCGCAUCGCUGGAGUGCGGCAGAGGGGGAUGGAAUUCCGCGUGUAGCAGUGAAAUGCGUAGAGAUGUGGAGGAACACCGAUGGCGAAGGCAACCCCCUGGGAUAACACUGACGCUCAUGCACGAAAGCGUGGGGAGCAAACA